rnacentral:ncRNA from 1 species
GUCAACAACCCCAUCCUAGAGAGGGAUGGGGCUUGCAAGAAAUAAGUCUAGAACUUACGCCAGAAAGUUGACCAUGUGCAUUCAAGCCCACUUUUUGUUGAAGAUGUUCCAGAAUGAAAUCACGAGCAACCGU